rnacentral:rRNA from 1 species
AUACGGAGGGUGCAAGCGUUACUCGGAAUCACUGGGCGUAAAGCGCGCGCAGGCGGCCAUUUAAGUUGGAUGUGAAAGCCUACGGCUCAACCGUAGAACUGCAUCCAAAACUAUUUGGCUAGAGUGUGGGAGAGGAAGAUGGAAUUAGUUGUGUAGGGGUAAAAUCCGUAGAGAUAACUAGGAAUACCAAAAGCGAAGGCAAUCUUCUGGAACAUUACUGACGCUGAGGCGCGAAAGCGUGGGGAGCAAACAGGAUUAGAUACCCGAGUAGUCC